rnacentral:rRNA from 1 species
GAUGAACGCUGGCGGCGUGCCUAAUACAUGCAAGUCGAGCGAACAGACGAGGAGCUUGCUCCUCUGACGUUAGCGGCGGACGGGUGAGUAACACGUGGAUAACCUCCUUAUAAGACUGGGAUAACUUCGGGAAACCGGAGCUAAUACCGGAUAAUAUAUUGAACCGCAUGGUUCAAUAGUGAAAGACGGUUUUGCUGUCACUUAUAGAUGGAUCCGCGCCGCAUUAGCUAGUUGGUAAGGUAACGGCUUACCAAGGCCACGAUGCGUAGCCGACCUGAGCGGGUGAUCGGCCACCCUGGAACUGAGACACGGUCCAUACUCCUACGGGAGGCAGCAGUAGGGAAUCUGCCGCAGUGGUCGAAAGCUUGACGGAGCAACGCCGCGUGAGUGAUGAAGGUCUUCGGAUCGUAAAACUCUGUUAUUAGGGAAGAACAAAUGUGUAAGUAACUAUGCACGUCUUGACGGUACCUAGUCAGAAAGCCACGGCUAACUACGUG